GGAAUAUUGGGCAAUGGGCGCAAGCCUGACCCAGCGACGCCGCGUGAGGGAUGAAGGCCUUCGGGUUGUAAACCUCUUUCAGUAGGGAAGAAGCGAAAGUGACGGUACCUAAAGAAGAAGCACCGGCUAACUAUGUGCCAGCAGCCGCGGUAAUACAUAGGGUGCAAGCGUUGUCCGGAAUUAUUGGGCGUAAAGAGCUCGUAGGUCGUUUGCCGCGUCGAUUGUGAAAAUCUGAGGCUCAACCUCAGACCUGCAGUCGAUACGGGCAAACUAGAGUGUGGUAGGGGAGACUGGAAUUCCUGGUGUAGCGGUGGAAUGCGCAGAUAUCAGGAGGAACACCAAUGGCGAAGGCAGGUCUCUGGGCCAUAACUGACACUGAGGAGCGGAAGCGCGGGGAGCGAACAGGAUUAGAUACCCUGGUAGUCCGCGCCGUAAACGAUGGGCACUAGCUGUGAGAGCCUUCCACGGUUCUCGCGACGCAGCAAACGCAUUAAGUGCCCCGCCUGGGGAGUACGAUCGCAAGAUUAAAACUCAAAGGAAUUGACGG
rnacentral:rRNA from 1 species